rnacentral:pre_miRNA from 1 species
UCAGAGAAAAAUAGUGAAUUGCCGACUUGGGCAAGUGAUCCAUUGGGAUAAAAUUAAAUUCUCUUCUUUUUACCCCAAAAACUUUCUACAUUGGAUAAAAAGAAUCUUCUUGGGGUAUAAAAAAAACCAGAUUUAAAUUUAGUCCAAGGGUUGAUGAUGUAUUUUCCCCAAGAAGGUUGCUCACUAUUUUGCCCCAA